rnacentral:rRNA from 1 species
UACAGAGGUGGCAAGCGUUGUUCGGAAUUACUGGGCGUAAAGGGCGCGUAGGCGGAUUGUUAAGCCGGGGGUGAAAUCCUGGAGCUCAACUCCAGAACUGCCUUCGAUACUGGCGAUCUAGAGUCCGGGAGAGGUGAGUGGAACUGCGAGUGUAGGGGUGAAAAUUCGUAGAUAUUCGCAAGAACACCAGUGGCGAAGGCGGCUCACUGGCCCGGUACUGACGCUGAGGUGCGAAAGCGUGGGGAGCAAACAGGG